ACCUGGCUGGCUCAGUUGGUAGAGCAUGCAACUCUUGAUCUUGGGGUUGUGAGUUCAAGCCCCAUGUUGGGUG
rnacentral:tRNA from 1 species